AUUGAACGCUGGCGGCAUGCCUUACACAUGCAAGUCGAACGGUAACAGGGAGCUUGCUCCGCUGACGAGUGGCGAACGGGUGAGUAAUGUAUCGGAACGUACCAUAGAGUGGGGGAUAACUAUCCGAAAGGAUAGCUAAUACCGCAUAUUCUCUCCGGAGGAAAGCAGGGGACCGCAAGGCCUUGCGCUCUUUGAGCGGCCGAUAUCAGAUUAGCUAGUUGGUGAGGUAAAGGCUCACCAAGGCGACGAUCUGUAGCGGGUCUGAGAGGAUGAUCCGCCACACUGGAACUGAGACACGGUCCAGACUCCUACGGGAGGCAGCAGUGGGGAAUUUUGGACAAUGGGGGCAACCCUGAUCCAGCCAUGCCGCGUGAGUGAAGAAGGCCUCGGUUGUAAGCUCUUCGUCCGGGAGAAUACGCACAGGCCAAUACCCUCGUGUGGAUGACGGUACCGGAAGUAAGAAGCACCGGCUAACUACGUGCCAGCACG
rnacentral:rRNA from 1 species